GGAGGCGUGCCAGAGCGGCCGAAUGGGACUCACUGCUAAUGAGUUGUUCCGCGUAAAACGGAACCGGAGGUUCAAAUCCUCUCGCCUCCGCCG
rnacentral:tRNA from 2 species